UACGUAGGCAGCAAGCGUUGUUCGGAGUUACUGGGCGUAAAGAGUGCGUAGGCGGUUUCGUGAGUUUGGUGUGAAAUCUCCCGGCUUAACUGGGAGGGUGCGCCGAAAACUGCGAGGCUGGAGUGUGGGAAAGGUAGGCGGAAUUCCUGGUGUAGCGGUGAAAUGCGUAGAUAUCAGGAGGAACACCGGCGGUGUAGACGGCUUACUAGACCAUGACUGACGCUGAGGCACGAAAGCGUGGGUAGCAAACAGG
rnacentral:rRNA from 1 species